rnacentral:rRNA from 1 species
GAUGAACGCUGGCGGCGUGCCUAAUACAUGCAAGUCGAGCGAACGGACGAGAAGCUUGCUUCUCUGAUGUUAGCGGCGGACGGGUGAGUAAAACGUGGAUAACCUACCUAUAAGACUGGGAUAAAUUAGGGAAACCGGAGCUAAUACCGGAUAAUAUUUUAAACCGCAUGGUUCAAAAGUGAAAGACGUUCUUGCUGUCACUUAUAGAUGGAUCCGCGCUGCAUUAGCUAGUUGGUAAGGUAACGGCUUACCAAGGCAACGAUGCAUAGCCGACCUGAGAGGGUGAUCGGCCACACUGGAACUGAGACACGGUCCAGACUCCUACGGGAGGCAGCAGUAGGGAAUCUUCCGCAAUGGGCGAAAGCCUGACGGAGCAACGCCGCGUGAGUGAUGAAGGUCUUCGGAUCGUAAAACUCUGUUAUUAGGGAAGAACAUAUGUGUAAGUAACUGUGCACAUCUUGACGGUACCUAAUCAGAAAGCCACGGCUAACUACGUG